GAAAGCUUAGUUGUAAGCGAAACGUCAGGGUUAAGAAUCUGGUUGUAGGUGUUUUGUCUGUCUAUAUUCUGUUUAUAUAGGACCGGAUUUAUGGCUUCAGUUGCGGUCUCAUCCCGGUAUGAUGCUCUGGUACAUGUCCCAGAAGUAGAGGAUGAGGAUAAUUUUCAACCCCUGGAUGGUGUGAUGCGGGCUCCUUCAUAUAACAUCAAAAGGUGGCUAAUCGGGUGGCGGAAAUAUUGGAGUCAUCGGUGAUGGUUGGGCAGUCUUCCCAGGUGACAGAUGAGACCCCGAUCUUGGCAA